ACAUGGUCUCGCCACACCUGUAUGGAUUAAGGAUCUUUUGUUGUUGUUGUUUUGCAAAUUCUACCAGCUUGCGAAGGAUGGAUUCAAGAGAAGCAUUCCUCUCUGGUGCCGCUAUUAGAUGGAGAGCGCGUAGAGGUGUUGAGCAACAGCUUCAACAAAUUAGGGACAUGCACAGCGAAAGCUUUGCUUCCCAGUGUUGCAGUAUAGUGGAAGGACAGCCUGGAUUGCACUCACAGCAGAGAGAUGUGGGGGAGAUUGUGGAUGAAGGGAUGAUGGAGGAGGACAUUGUGGUGGGCACAUCAUGUUUUGACCAGCAGUCUUUUGGAAUGGAUCUGCCUGAGGAGGAGUCUGACUCAGACCAAGAUGCAGAUGAGACAGAUCAGUCCUGCAACCUAAGUGAAAGUCUCCAUAGCCGGACCCCCAUUAAGAUGCAACCAAGCAUCAGGGCCAUCCUACUUUGCCCAAGCUCCACCUGCUCCACCUGAACCACUCAGCCCUGCAGUGAGAGCUCCACCACUCUCCCCUUCAGGGCGCCCCUCCUUUUCUGCACCUCCUCAUAGGCUGUUUCAGCUGUCUCCGACCUUUACGGACAUGUCACUAAACCGUCCUCCUCCUCCCGGGAUGUCUUCUGAUGGCCACUCUCUGGAAAGAGCCACUGAAGUUUUUAUGCCCAGCCUCAAUAUGGGCAGUUCUGGGAAGGAGCCAAUAAUAUGUACACGUGGCAAUGCUGGCCUCUAUUGGUGGGAGGGACACAAAGAACCUAAUUUUCAACAUCUUGGCACACGUGUUCUCUGACAGUGUAGCCAAGUUAAUCAAUUGGAAAGGGGUGAACAACAAGAGGAAAUUCAGUGAGAUGGCGACAAGGGGCAUUCUGGCUCGAGCAGUGAGGAAGAACCGGAUGGGCGAGAAGGCCACAGAUACUGAAAUAAAUCAGUUCACUAAUCGGUGGUUCAACCUGGCGUGCGACCGUGGGGGUGGCCGCCGUGCACGCACGCAGCCCCCAGCAACAGACGGCAUGCAGGCACCCACCAACGCACCCACCAACUGGAAAAAAUAAAAAAUCAAACUUUCAACCCACUAAUACCUCACGUAUUUUUGGAAAUAUUUGUAAAUAUCUUGUAAAUAUUAUCCAUUUAUUUUGUGUUUACUACUUUUUUUUGUGUGUUUUGGCUGCUG